rnacentral:ncRNA from 1 species
GCAAAACCUAAGGGGUGGCGCUAGCGCCUGAGAUGCUCACCGAGCAAACCCUUGAACCUGAUCCGGUUAGUACCGGCGUAGGAAUAGGUAACCUUCCAAAA